UGCGCAGGCGGUUAUUUAAGUCAGGUGUGAAAGCCCCGGGCUCAACCUGGGAAUGGCGCUUGAGACUGGAUAGCUUGGAGUGUGGCAGAGGGAGGUGGAAUUCCACGUGUAGCAGUGAAAUGCGUAGAGAUGUGGAGGAACACCGAUGGCGAAGGCAGCCUCCUGGGCCAGCACUGACGCUCAUGCACGAAAGCGUGGGGAGCAAACAGGAUUAGAUACCCUGGUAGUCCACGCCCUAAACGAUGUCGACUGGUUGUUGGUGGGGUUAAACCCAUUAGUAACGAAGCUAACGCGUGAAGUCGACCGCCUGGGGAGUACGGCCGCAAGGUUAAA
rnacentral:rRNA from 1 species